rnacentral:rRNA from 1 species
UCCUACGGGAGGCAGCAGUGGGGAAUUUUCCGCAAUGGGCGAAAGCCUGACGGAGCAAUACCGCGUGAGGGAAGACGGCCUAUGGGUUGUAAACCUCUUUUUUCAGGGAGGAAUUUUGACGUGUACCUGAAAAAUAAGCAUCGGCUAACUCCGUGCCAGCAGCCGCGGUAAGACGGAGGAUGCAAGUGUUAUCCGGAAUCACUGGGCGUAAAGCGUCUGUAGGUGGUUAAGCAAGUCAACUGUUAAAUCUUGAGGCUCAACUUCAAAAUCGCAGUCGAAACUGUUUGACUAGAGUAUAGUAGGGGUAAAGGGAAUUUCCAGUGGAGCGGUGAAAUGCGUAGAUAUUGGAAAGAACACCGAUGGCGAAGGCACUUUACUGGGCUAUUACUGACACUCAGAGACGAAAGCUAGGGUAGCAAAUGGGAUUAGAUACCCCAGUAGUCCUAGCCGUAAACAAUGGAUACUAGAUGUUGAACAGAUCGACCUGUGCAGUAUCAAAGCUAACGCGUUAAGUAUCCCGCCUGGGAAGUAUGCUCGCAAGAGUGAAACUCAAAGGAAUUGACGGA